UCUGGAAGGAGACAAAGAGGGAGAAAAACAAACAAAAUGUGACACCCCUGAAAGCAACAAGGAGACCCUAUAUGCAGACUGGGGUGCGAAAGUUGCCCCCCACGCACCUCCAUCCCACCAGCUCCCUCUGUUCUCCCCCAGCCCACAGUCCUCUGCCUUGCGAGGGAAAAAUACCAAGGCUUUGUUUUAUGCCGAAGGAAACCGGGCACUAGGAUAUUCAUUCAUCUCCCACAGAGGGGACUUCGGAGUUUGGGAGUGGGAAAAAGGCAUACACUCAUAAAUUUAAAUAAUAAAAAAAACUAUGUGGAAAGUGGAUGAAGCUGAAUGUCAUUUUAAAAAAGAGAACAAGAAGCGACAGGAAAAUGACUUCAAGCGGGAGAGAUGGGCGGCUCUGAAUCCAGAGUUCGGCCCUAAUUAACAAUAACCUCUGGGGUUAUGGGGGAGCGACGUUCCAGCCCAGCCACGCGCCUGAGCCCCAUUCUAAAUCCGCUUAGCUACUUCCGAAGACACCUCCAAAAAUAAAACUAAAACUUUGUUCUAAAAUAAAGGCAGAAUCCAGAAGGAAA